UACGAAGGGUGCAAGCGUUACUCGGAAUUACUGGGCGUAAAGCGUGCGUAGGUGGUUUGUUAAGUCUGAUGUGAAAGCCCUGGGCUCAACCUGGGAAUUGCAUUCGAGACUGCAUUGCUGGAGUACGGAAGAGGAAGGCGGAAUUCCCGGUGUAGCGGUGAAAUGCGUAGAGAUGUGGAGGAACACCGAUGGCGAAGGCAGCCUCCUGGGCCGACACUGACGCUGAGACGCGAAAGCUAGGGGAGCGAACAGG
rnacentral:rRNA from 1 species